rnacentral:rRNA from 1 species
AUCCUGGCUCAGAGACGAACGUUAGCGGCGGGCCUAACACAUGCAAGUCGAACGCGAAAGGUCUUCGGACUGAGUAGAGUGGCGCACGGGUGAGUAACACGUAGGUAAUCUACCCUUUGGCGGGGGAUAACGUUCCGAAAGGAGCGCUAAUACCGCAUAAGACCACGGAGUCUCCGGACGCUGUGGGAAAAGGUGGCCUCUUCUUGAAAGCUAUCACCGAAGGAUGAGCCUGCGUCCCAUCAGCUAGUUGGUAAGGUAAUGGCUUACCAAGGCGAAGACGGGUAGCUGGUUUGAGAGAAUGAUCAGCCACACUGGCACUGGAACACGGGCCAGACUCCUACGGGAGGCAGCAGUGAGGAAUAUUGGGCAAUGGGCGAAAGCCUGACCCAGCCACGCCACGUGAGUGAUGAAGGCCCUCGGGUCGUAAAGCUCUGUGGAGAGGGACGAAAACCCUGGUUUCAAAUAGGCUCCAGGCUUGACGGUACCUCUUUAGCAAGCACCGGCUAACUCUGUG